UUACCAUGCAGUCGAACGCUGAAGCACCAGCUUGCUGGUGUGGAUGAGUGGCGAACGGGUGAGUAAUACGUGAGUAACCUGCCCUUGACUCUGGGAUAAGCCCGGGAAACUGGGUCUAAUACUGGAUGCUACAUGUCACCGCAUGGUGGUGUGUGGAAAGGGUUUACUGGUCUUGGAUGGGCUCACGGCCUAUCAGCUUGUUGGUGAGGUAAUGGCUCACCAAGGCGACGACGGGUAGCCGGCCUGAGAGGGUGACCGGCCACACUGGGACUGAGACACGGCCCAGACUCCUACGGGAGGCAGCAGUGGGGAAUAUUGCACAAUGGGCGAAAGCCUGAUGCAGCGACGCCGCGUGAGGGAUGACGGCCUUCGGGUUGUAAACCUCUUUCAGCAGGGAAGAAGCCACAAGUGACGGUACCUGCAGAAGAAGCGCCGGCUAACUACGUGCCAGCAGCCGCGGUAAUACGUAGGGCGCAAGCGUUGUCCGGAAUUAUUGGGCGUAAAGAGCUCGUAGGCGGUUUGUCGCGUCUGCUGUGAAAGCCCGGGGCUUAACCCCGGGUGUGCAGUGGGUACGGGCAGACUAGAGUGCAGUAGGGGAGACUGGAAUUCCUGGUGUAGCGGUGGAAUGCGCAGAUAUCAGGAGGAACACCGAUGGCGAAGGCAGGUCUCUGGGCUGUUACUGACGCUGAGGAGCGAAAGCAUGGGGAGCGAACAGGAUUAGAUACCCUGGUAGUCCAUGCCGUAAACGUUGGGCACUAGGUGUGGGGGACAUUCCACGUUUUCCGCGCCGUAGCUAACGCAUUAAGUGCCCCGCCUGGGGAGUACGGCCGCAAGGCUAAAACUCAAAGGAAUUGACGGGGGCCCGCACAAGCGGCGGAGCAUGCGGAUUAAUUCGAUGCAACGCGAAGAACCUUACCAAGGCUUGACAUAUACCGGAUCGUUCCAGAGA
rnacentral:rRNA from 1 species